rnacentral:rRNA from 1 species
GAUGAACGCUAGCGAUAGGCCUAACACAUGCAAGUCGAGGGGCAGCACGGGAGUAGCAAUACAACUGGUGGCGACCGGCGCACGGGUGAGUAACGCGUAUGUAAUCUACCUACGACAGGGGGAUAACCCGGAGAAAUCCGGACUAAUACCGCAUAAAACAGGGGUCCCGCCUGGGACUAUUUGUUAAAGAUUUAUCGGUUGUAGAUGAGCAUGCGUUCCAUUAGAUAGUUGGUAAGGUAACGGCUUACCAAGUCAGCGAUGGAUAGGGGAACUGAGAGGUUUGUCCCCCACACUGGAACUGAGACACGGACCAGACUCCUACGGGAGGCAGCAGUGAGGAAUAUUGGUCAAUGGGCGAGAGCCUGAACCAGCCAAAUCGCGUGAAGGAAGACUGCCUUAUGGGUUGUAAACUUCUUUUACAGGGGAAUAAAAAGACAUACGAGUAUGUCAUUGCAUGUACCCUGUGAAUAAGCAUCGGCUAACUCCGUGCCAGCCGCCGCAGUAA